AGAGUUUGAUCCUGGCUCAGAUUGAACGCUGGCGGCAUGCCUUACACAUGCAAGUCGAACGGCAGCACGGGAGCAAUCCUGGUGGCGAGUGGCGAACGGGUGAGUAAUAUAUCGGAACGUGCCCAGUCGUGGGGGAUAACGCAGCGAAAGCUGUGCUAAUACCGCAUACGAUCUAUGGAUGAAAGCGGGGGAUCGCAAGACCUCGCGCGAUUGGAGCGGCCGAUAUCAGAUUAGCUAGUUGGUGGGGUAAAAGCCCACCAAGGCGACGAUCUGUAGCUGGUCUGAGAGGACGACCAGCCACACUGGGACUGAGACACGGCCCAGACUCCUACGGGAGGCAGCAGUGGGGAAUUUUGGACAAUGGGCGCAAGCCUGAUCCAGCAAUGCCGCGUGCAGGACGAAGGCCUUCGGGUUGUAAACUGCUUUUGUACGGAACGAAACGGCCCUGUCUAAUACAUGGGGUUAAUGACGGUACCGUAAGAAUAAGCACCGGCUAACUACGUGCCAGCAGCCGCGGUAA
rnacentral:rRNA from 1 species